AGAUCUUCCAUCCAGGAUAGUCCUGGAAAUGAUCUUGAUGCUAUCUGUUCCUCGUUACAGCAGACCUGCUCAACUUCAGCAGCUAGAAGGAGGAUUGUCUUUCACCAGCUGCAGGAGCCUGUUCCCACUACAAGCCUGGUGGAGUCUUCGGAGCAGAUGUGACUGUCCUACUUGUAUAGAGAAGAGAAACUGAGGCUCAGAAGAGAUGCCUGGCUGAGUUUAAUAGGACUGCAACAACAAUUUUGCCUUUCUACUUUCUGGUACAGUGGUCUUUCCUUUGCCAUCAUGCCUCAGCAUAUCCAUGUUAGUAAAUUCUCCCAGUUGGGGAAAAGCUUGGCAGCAAUGAAAGUUAAUGUGAUGAAUCAUUUAGAUGGACAGAUUGGAAAAAUGUUGUUCCUUUUGCAUGUGAUGUUCUUGCCAGAAAUCAAGUAGGUGGAGUUUUUGAAGCGUGAUCAGUUAGAUAAGUAUGGUGGUUUUAAAUAAUCAAGCAUGGAGCCAUACCGGUUAUGUUUAAUUUAUAACAAAAUCAGACAAUUCAGGCAUGAUGUUGAACUCAUUGAGCUUGGCUCACUACUACAUUUCUCUCACCAAAAGCAAUGACUAUAAAGAGUUACAAAUACCAUGACCUUAUAUCAUAAAGCAUAAAUUAUUCCAGGAAGUUUUCCAUUUAAGUCAACUUCUCAAAAUCUUAGGAGAAAACUACCAAUAUUCAGUUCAAACCCCAGAGGCUUAAGGAAAAAUAUUAAUGUUGAAAUAGCAAGUAAGUGGUAGUAUCCUCGCUGUAUGCACAAUUGCAUCUGCUCGGGGGUUAGUCUUUCUUUAGCUCCUGUCUACAACUCACACCAGUCUCCAUAAAAGAAAUGAGGUCUCACUGAUACCAUCUAGCUUAAUGAGAUAAAAAUCCUGGUGAUCUCUGCAAGAAAAUAAAACUAAGAUAAACUAGUAUCUGCUACUGAUAAAUAUUUAACAGAUGUGGUCCAAAUCCCUCUGCCAGCUGGAGGAAGGAAAAAAGUUCUAUUUUACUGCUUGGAUAUAAUUAUUGGCCACAUUUCUCCAAGCAAAGACAGUGACAUUGGCUCACUCCCCAGGAGAACUUUCUUCUGAUCUUGGCACUAGGAUUUGCUUUUCUUUAACAGAUUGCAGCAAUAUACCCUUCAUUUGACCCAGUUUAUUCAUUCAAAAGAUACCUGGAGCCAAAACCAUGUAUGAGAAAUAGCAAAGGAAGAGGCAGGCACAAGCUGUGUUUAUAUACCCACCAAAGGACUACAGCAAAACACAUAUAUUCUAGUCAGCUCUGAGUGCACCUGUCUGUGUCAACAGUAGACCAGCGUGGUCUGGCAGAUGACCAUAUGACCCAGCUGAUUCACUCCGGAGUUAGAGGAACUUUUCCCAGACCCUGAAAGUCACCUUUUUAGACAACUUCGCAAACAGCCAUCCUUGUUCACGGUAUCAUGCCCCUUGUCACUGCUAAACAGACCGUUUGCAAAGAAAUUUCCUAAACAUCACCACUGAGGCUCCUUCCAGCAAUGACUCUGGUCCAUCAUUGGGAUUGCUGAGCAGCUGUUUCAUAACAUGAACAAGGAUGUUUUAACCAUGUUUCUUGACCUGGCCAUUUGGAUCCCAAGGAUGUUUUGGUCCAAGAAUAAAUUCCAGAGCUUAGCUCACCGAAGAAGACAGGAAAACUUGUCAGAUGGGGAAGGAUGUGUCAAGAGCAUGCACACAGAUUUACUCUUCAGCUAGAAGCUCCAAUUCCUAGAUGAUCUGAAUCCAACUCAGAGUGCUUGCACCUGUUUCCUGCCACACAGCUAGAGCUGUGUCCCUCUAGGUUCUCUGAUUGGCUGAAGCUACUCUAAGCCAAGAGAUCAAAGAAGCUGAUAAUGUAGAAUGUAAGUUUGUCUCCUGGGCCACAAUGGAAAGCAGAGACUGUAGCUGGAGGAGUGAAUAGAGGAUAUGCAGCUCUGGUAAUUCUCAGUACAAUUCCCAGUGGUCCACUCUGCAGAAUGAACCAAGUUCCAUUUUGCCCAACUUCUGGCAGUCCACAUUUGGACUGUGAGCUCACCUACAGAUAAAUCGUACGUGGAUUGAUGCAGUAACUGGAUUUGUAGCUGCUAAAUCUUAUUUAAGUGAGGACCUGUCCAGUACAUGUGAAGACCACCCAUCCACUGAAAGUGAUAAGUGAAGCUGAAUCAAUACUAGACUGAAUCAAUACUGAGCUGAAUCAAUACUUUCCCAAUUUUGAGGAAAUCUUGGAAAAUCUCUGAGAAAUGUGGUAGUAAUUAUUUUGAAGAAUUGGAAAACUUUAUAGCUGAUUAUGCUAUGUGUGGAAGAUACAACAGGAUUAUAAGAGAGAGAAGACAAUAUCCUUGCUGUGUCCAGAAGGCUUUAGCCGGGGUGUCCUACUGAGAGAUGACAAACUUAAGGUUUUUCUCUUCCCAGACAUUACUGGACAACUAGCUAUGUAAUUAGGUCUUAUGCCGAAAAGACUGAAAGGAAAACAUCUCAGAUCUAGGAAUGUGAUCAAGAAAGAAGGCUGGUUAAAGAAUAACAUGGGGAAAAUGAAUGCAGUGAAAUGGUUCACGCACAAGUUCUAGGAAUUCAGAGUGCAACAGCAGAAAUGCGAUUUUUGUUAGAUAUUUCAGAAAGUGAUGUGAGUCCCUGAGGUCAUACUGCAGCGUUCAGGUUCUGUUUGGCCUCCUGCACGAAGCUUUCCUUGAUUGGAAAAGCUGCAUACUCUGAAGCACAUCGCAUGUGUCCUGUCUGUAGUUCAUUUCAUUUCCCCAGAUUUGUUAUCAUCCACCAUCACUCAUACAAGCCUACCUUCUUCAUGCCAACCUUUGUAAUCUUUCUACCUUGCUAACCUGGUCAUGUCAAGGACCAGCUAAUAAAUAGCAAAGUUGUACCUUGAGCCAAGGUAUCUUGACUCUUAGUCCAGUGCUCUUUAUAUACCUCUGAAGUCUUAUUUGAGCUUCAAAAUUAUGAGUCUGUGCUCUCAAGAUUUUUUUGAAAAUGUACUUAAUGUUGCCCCUAAGCUUUUAUGAGAA
ensembl:lncRNA novel transcript